UGUAAGACCCGUAAUUUCACAGUUUAUUUUGUGUAAGGAAAAUAAAUAUUGGAUAAAAGUUUUAGGGUUUUUGUUUAAGUCGUUUUGUACGUAUCGUUGUAAUAACGACAUUUUUGCUGAGUUUAAGUCUGUUUUGUGCUCGUGCGCUGAAAAGGCACAGACUUUUGGGCUGUAAUCCUCUUUUAUGUAUGAGAAGGUUUAUGCAAAUUCAGAAUGACGAGUUUUGAACUAUUCUCGCUUUUGGAAAAACGAGUAGAAAUUUUACCCGCUGACGUAAAAUUUUACGGUUUCUGAAUUCAGUAAAAUUUUGGGUGGAAGUUUUAUAUAUCUGCGCGAG
rnacentral:lncRNA from 1 species